UGGUAGUAAUAAUUAAUAAAACCUACUUAUUUUGGCGGCAUUUCAUCUAAUUAGAGGAACUUGUUUAAUAAUCGAUAAUCCCCGAUUAAUUUCACUUAAGUAAACAAUCUAUAUAUCGCCAUCUAAAGAAUUAAUUUUAAGAAAAUAUUCUAAAUAAAAAAUAAAAAGUUAGGUCAAGGUGUAAUCAAUACUUUAGAAUAAAUUAGUUACUAUAAACUUAAUUUAAGGAUUAGAUAAAUAAAAUUAUCUAUUAAAAAGGAUUUAAUAGUAAUUAUAUAAUAAAAUUUUAAAGUGAAAAAGAUAAUAUAUGUGU
rnacentral:rRNA from 1 species